rnacentral:rRNA from 1 species
GGGAUUGCCCCAGUAACGGCGAGUGAAGCGGCAACAGCUCAAAUUUGAAAUCUGGCCCCCGGGUCCGAGUUGUAAUUUGUAGAGGAAGCUUUUGGUGCGGUACCUUCCGAGUUCCCUGGAACGGGACGCCAUAGAGGGUGAGAGCCCCGUCUGGUCGGAUACCAAUCCUCUGUAAAGCUCCUUCGACGAGUCGAGUAGUUUGGGAAUGCUGCUCUAAAUGGGAGGUAUAUGUCUUCUAAAGCUAAAUACCGGCCAGAGACCGAUAGCGCACAAGUAGAGUGAUCGAAAGAUGAAAAGCACUUUGAAAAGAGAGUUAAAAAGUACGUGAAAUUGUUGAAAGGGAAGCGCUCAUGACCAGACGUGGGCUUGGUUGAUCAACCUGGGUUCUCCCCGGUGCACUCUUCCUCGCCCAGGCCAGCAUCAGUUUGCUUCGGGGGAUAAAGGCGUCGGGAAUGUGGCUCCCCCGGGAGUGUUAUAGCCCGUCGUGCAAUACCCUGCGGCAGACUGAGGUUCGCGUUCCGCAAGGAUGCUGGCGUAAUGGUCAUCAGCGACCCGUCUUGAAACACGGACCAAGGAGUCGUCUUCGUAUGCGAGUGUUCGGGUGUUAAACCCCUACGCGAAAUGAAAGUGAACGUAGGUGAGAGCUUCGGCGCAUCACCGACCGAUCCUGAUGUUCUCGGAUGGAUUUGAGUAAGAGCAUACGGGGCCGGACCCGAAAGAAGGUGAACUAUGCCUGUAUAGGGUGAAGCCAGAGGAAACUCUGGUGGAGGCUCGCAGCGGUUCUGACGUGCAAAUCGAUCGUCAAAUAUGGGCAUGGGGGC